rnacentral:rRNA from 1 species
UACGAAGGGGGCUAGCGUUGCUCGGAAUGACUGGGCGUAAAGGGCGCGUAGGCGGCUUGGUUCGUUAGGCGUGAAAUUCCUGGGCUCAACCUGGGGACUGCGCUUAAUACAGCUAGGCUUGAGUGUGGAAGAGGGUCGUGGAAUUCCCAGUGUAGAGGUGAAAUUCGUAGAUAUUGGGAAGAACACCGGUGGCGAAGGCGGCGACCUGGUCCAUUACUGACGCUGAGGCGCGAAAGCGUGGGGAGCAAACAGG